AAAAAAGAGAUACAACCUUGGCAAGAAUGAUGCUCAGCAUAAUAUAUGACCCACGCUCCUUUAGGCUCUAUAAAUUCCAUGGGUGGCGUAGCUACCGAGAUCAAUGCAGAUAAUUAUGUCUCUCCUAGAAGUUGGUUAUCAUCUCAUUUUGUUCUUGGAUUCUUCUUUUUUGUGCAACUGUAA
rnacentral:rRNA from 1 species